GAUGAAGAACGCAGCGAAAUGCGAUACGUAAUGUGAAUUGCAGAAUUCAGUGAAUCAUCGAAUCUUUGAACGCAUAUUGCGCUCUCUGGUAUUCCGGAGAGCAUGCUUGUUUGAGUAUCAGUAAACACCUCAACUUCCAUAUCUUUUUUGAAAUGGGAGUUGGACUUGAGUGAUCCCAACGCUUUUCCUCACCGAAAAGUGGCGGGUUACUUGAAAUGCAGGUGCAGCUGGACUUUUCUCUGAGCUAUAAGCAUAUCUAUUUAGUCUGCCUAAAAAACAGAUUAUUACCUUUGCUGCAGCUAACAUAAAGGAGAUUAGUUCUUGUGCUGACUGAUGCAGGAUUCACAAAGACAGGCUUCGGCCGACUUUGUAAACUCGAUCUCAAAUCAAGUAAGACUACCCGCUGAACUUAAGCAUAUCAAAAGCGAGGA
rnacentral:misc_RNA from 1 species